UCGCUUCGUUACGUUUACAUUCUGUUCCCGACGUCGCGUUGUGCGGAGCCAUUACCCUCGUCCGCGCUAAAGCAUCGUGCCAUAUUCCCACUCGCGCCCUAAAAUAGACAGCAUUCACGUAGUUUUAAGUGAAAUAUUAUGAGAGUGAAGACCGAAAUGGACGACGACGAAAAGGGUAAAUUGUUCGUUGGUGGAUUAUCAUGGGAAACAACCCAAGAAAAUCUCCAACGUUACUUCGGCCGUUAUGGCGAAGUUAUCGAUUGUGUCGUUAUGAAAAACAGCGAAUCUGGACGCAGUCGAGGUUUUGGAUUUGUAACAUUUAGCGAUCCUGCUAAUGUUUCUCUGGUUCUUCAAAAUGGUCCUCACCAACUUGAUGGACGUACAAUUGAUCCAAAACCAUGUAAUCCACGCACUCUUCAGAAGCCAAAACGCAGUGGUGGCUUCCCAAAAGUUUUUCUUGGUGGUUUGCCAAGUAAUGUGACGGAGACUGACUUAAGGUCCUAUUUUACCCGCUUUGGCAAAGUUAUGGAAGUAGUCAUAAUGUAUGAUCAGGAAAAGAAGAAAUCCAGGGGAUUCGGCUUUCUCAGUUUCGAGGAUGAAGAAGCAGUGGACAGAUGCGUCGCGGAGCAUUUUGUCAACCUAAAUGGAAAACAGGUUGAAAUUAAACGCGCAGAACCACGAGACUCGUCCAGCAAGAUGAAUGAUAGUCAUCAGGGUCAAUGGGGACCCCCUCAACAGGGUGGUCCGCCAAUGGGAAUGGCUGGGAAUAUGGGGCCUAUGGGUGGCCCAAACGGGCAAAUGGGUGGACCUAUGAUGGGAGGACCGAUGGGUCCUCCUGGUAAUAUGAUGCAACAAUAUCAGGGUUGGGGCACUAGUCCCCAAACUGGUGGAUACGCCGGAUAUAGUACCCAGUACAAUGCUCAAGGCUGGGGUGCACCACCGGGACCGCCUCAACAGCAACAAAUUCCGCCACCGCCACCGCAUCAAUGGGGUAGCAGCUAUAAUGUUCAACCUGCUGCAGCUACCCAGGGCUAUGGAAGUUAUGGUGGGCCGGCGGCGGCCGCUUCAGGGGGCUACGGGCCCACGGCGGGUACUGGCGGGGCUGCGGGGGGCGGGCCCGGGGGCUCCUGGAGUUCCUGGAACAUGCCACAGAAUGGGCCCCCUCCUGGGACCCAGCCCCCACCCCAGCCCCCUCAGCCCAACUCCUCGCAGCCCAACUCCAACUCGAACCCCUCUGGCCCGCAGGGUGAUAUGUAUUCACGGCAGAACACCGGCUCAGGUGCGCCCGGAUCCAGCAGCAGUUCGGCUAAGACUCCAGAUUACACUGGGUACUCCGCUUAUAGUAAUUACGCGGACACCACUUAUCCUCAGCGUUCGUAUCAGGGAGGAGAAAGCAACCAAGAUAAUAUUAAUGUGCGAAUGAAGGAAGCAUGGGAAGACGCGGGAGACGAGUAUCAUAGAAGUUUGCUUAGAAUGUUUGCUCGACAAUGAUGCAUUUGUGUCUGCCGAUCAAUUCUCGAUUGCCCCAAAUUGGUGCAGUCGACACGGAUAUGCGAGGAUACGGAUCUUCAAGCGUUCCUGCUGCACCAGGAACAACGGACAACUACAGCGGUGGCCCCCAAAGGGGUUACACAGGAUCCUCGUCCAGCACCAACAAUUAUCAUCCUUAUCGUCGCUAGGAGGAAUAAGAACAAAAUCAACAAAUUAGGCUGCAGCACGAGAUCUCUCACCUCUUUUUGUUAGUUAUAUACAUAUACAUUUGUAUAUAACUGACUAUACUUAUUACAAUAAAUAGUUUAAUACUAAUAAUAGAACGCGUUUAAUCUUUUUUCCAUAAAUCUUUCAAUGCACUCAAAUCUGUGUUGGAGGAUUCGUGGAAAACAAAUCGACAUUAUUCGUGACACAAGUGCGAAAUACGUACAAACGAACAAGAUGCGACGUUAUUUAAAUUUAUUCGACUCUGAUAAAAUAGUACAUAAUAGAGAAAAAUUGCGAAACUUGCGAUAUGCUAACGAAAAAUAGAUGGAGAAAAUUGAACAUCAGCAAAGUUGUUCCAUCUAUUUUCCGUUUGAUGUUUAUUAUUGACAGAAUAUAAAAAGAAAUUGCAUUGAAUUUGCAUUGAGUAGAUUUAAGAUUUAAAUAUGAUAUUUCAUUGAUUAGUGCGACUCACGGGGAUAUACAUUAUGAUUCUUUACAUCGGGCAUUAAUGAAGUUGAAAUCAUCUUUUUACUAGACUCAUACAUCACGUAAAAUUCAUCAUCUUAAUUCUUAUUAAA
rnacentral:misc_RNA from 1 species